CCUGAUUUCACCUUCUUCCCUCUUGUGAUCUUCAUCUCUCUUCAUUCUUAUAUCACUGCAAGAUUUUUCACCGUAGGCAAUUGAUGGCCACAUCAUGGAGACAUCCUGUGAGCUUGCCCCAGACCAUGUAUCAGAUGGCAUCAGCUGAAGUCCAGGUGAAGUGGUGGACAUUCUCCAGCAUGCUUGGCACCGCAGCUUGGAGAUUGUUGCUCACAAGAGAAGGGAAUGUGCCAGCUUUCACAGAUCUGUACUUGCAGGAGGAGACCUAGACCUGUGAGGCAUCACCCUGCCAUCCGGCUGCUGGCUGGCAUCCAGAUGCUAUCUCAAGAUCCAUCAAUGCAAUGAAAUAUUUUCUGCCUGGAAAAGUAAUUCUAGAUUUAUAUACAAAAGUAAUCAGAGUAUCAACUGGAAAAUAUUAUGUGAAUGUUUUAAAUAAAUUUACUGGGUUUGGAUGGCCUAUUUUUGGUAGGAGGGGGAGCUACAGAGGUGCCUUCUGUGAGAAGCUGCUGGAAGCUUCUUCUAUAUGUCCGUCCAUGGUGGUUCCAAAGAUGGAUGUGCUGCUGCCCAAGGUUGGGCCAAUUAAAAAUUAUGCAAUGCCUCUGUGAUAAUAGAUUUAAGGAGAAUUCAAAACCAAAUGGAGUUGCAGAGUUGAAACUGCAACCAGAGAAGAGUGGAGGAAGAACAUGUGAGAAGAAAACUCUGCACACACCAAGAUCCAUGGAGAAGGAGGGGCAGGAGGUGCUCCAGGCACUGGAACUGA